CCUACGGGUGGCAGCAGUGAGGAAUAUUGGUCAAUGGGCGCGAGCCUGAACCAGCCAAGUCGCGUGAGGGAAGACGGUCCUAUGGAUUGUAAACCUCUUUUGUCGGGGAGCAAAAGACGCCACGCGUGGCGUUCCGAGAGUACCCGAAGAAAAAGCAUCGGCUAACUCCGUGCCAGCAGCCGCGGUAAUACGGAGGAUGCGAGCGUUAUCCGGAUUUAUUGGGUUUAAAGGGUGCGCAGGCGGAAAAUAAAGUCAGCGGUAAAAUUGAGAGGCUCAACCUCUUCGAGCCGUUGAAACUGGUUGUCUUGAGUGAGCGAGAGGUAGGCGGAAUGCGUGGUGUAGCGGUGAAAUGCAUAGAUAUCACGCAGAACUCCGAUUGCGAAGGCAGCAUACCGGCGCUCAACUGACGCUGAUGCACGAAAGUGUGGGUAUCGAACAGGAUUAGAUACCCUAGUAGUC
rnacentral:rRNA from 1 species